rnacentral:ncRNA from 1 species
AAACAUCCAAUGGGGAGCAUUUGCUGAGAGGUUAUUUAGUUAACGACCCAAAACCUGAUCUAGGUAAUGCUAGCGUAGGGAAAUCGCGUGUUUAAACAC